rnacentral:lncRNA from 1 species
GAUGAGGUCUAUUGGCUUUAUUUCCUCGAGCACCAACUUUAUCAACACCGUGUGCCUCGAUCUCAACCUGAUUUUCACCCUCAAAGGAGUGAUCACUGCUAUUGAUUCCAUCUUCAACAACAUUUCUUGAUUCUUCAGACAUUUCAGCUAUAAAACAGAGGAAUUCAUAAUCAGCAUCCAAACCUCGACUUUGACUCGACUCGACCUUUGGCAUGUACCUUUAGACUCAAUUUUAAGAUUGAUUUAGUUAAGAGAAUUGACUAUACCUAUAGUUCUGAUACCACUAAAUAUAACACCCCAUACUUGACCCAAUCGACGAGUCCGAGUUAUAGGAUGUCACAUUCAUUGCUAGUGUCGUAUACGAGUCAUAUACGAGUUCAUAUACGAGUCAUUGACUAUACCUUGGAUAUUACAUGUGUAUAACACGAUAUAUAAUCAUUUUCGGGUCAUAUACGAGUUCAGGAAAACUUAUUUACUAUCCUAGGGUUGAAUUUGGACUAAUCUUUAAGGUAUUCAAAACAUUUUAGGCUAGUGUUGUGGCAUCAAGGUUGUGGUGUCGUGACCCCUAAAACAGUGAGCUAGCUUUCCAACAUGAGGGCCAAAUUGUAAAGUUUUUAAAAUUUCAUGAAGUUGACGUCGCAACAUCAAACAGAGGACAUCACGAGGAUGAUGGCUGGCGUCUCGACAUUCCUCAACAAUAUACCAAAAUUGUAAUUCCUCUUAAUUUCAACCUAACUUAUAACAACAAUUAGUAAGUCUUAAGUCCCCAAAAGACCAUUUCACACACAUGACAAGUUUAACAUAGAACUUCAAAUCAACAAAACCUUUUUCAUGCAUGAACCAUUAUCAUUUUCUUUUGUCCACAACUCAAAUACUAGGUAUAUACCAUAUGACAAAAUUUAAAAAGCUAUACAAACUUUAUUGAGUCGAAGGCUAUAGUCUAGAUGCUGAAUUCACCUCUGGGCCUUUGAGAAUUACCUAUACCUACGGUAACCGUCUUCCACUUUGGGCAAAGGAAGAUUAAAUGCUCAAAUAUAAAUGGAGUAAUAUCAAAAUAGUCUCUAAAAGUUUAUCAAAAUUUCAAUAUAGUCUAUCCACUUUAAAAUUUAUCAAAAUUUUGAUAUGGUCCCUUCUUUUAUAAAUUUUAUUUUAAAAUAGUAUGUUAUUUACUAAACUAAAAAACUCUAAAAAAUUAAAUUAAAAAUUAUUAUAAGAAUUUAAAAAAUUAAAAAAAAAUUGAAAUUCAAUUACUUCUAAAAUAUGGGAAUUUAAAAAUUACUAAUUAAAGAAAUUGCAUUUACACAUUUAUAUUGGAACUUAUAUGUUACUUUUAAACUUACAUAAUGGUUUUCAUAUUGGUAUUUUUUACUAAUAAUAAAAAAAUACAAAAAACAUAAUUUUAAAUUGGAUGGACUAUAUUGAAAAUUUUAUAUACAUUCAAGGGCCAUUUUGUAAAAUCAUAAAUGAUGAAAAAUGAUGUUAUAUCAUAAAUGGCCCUUGAAUGCAUAUCAAAAUUUCAAUAUAGCCCAUCCAAUUCUUUAAUUUUCAAUAUAGGGCAAAGCAAUGAAAGCAUACAAACAAGCGGUUCUUUGGUGGUUGCGCUGUCUAUGCUUUGGGCUUAAAAUGGAAAAUAUCACAAAUGGCCCCUCAAAAUUUUAUUAAAAUUUCAAAAGAUAAAAUUUUUAAAAGAAGAAAUUAAAAAAUUCAACGCCAUAUUUACUUGUAGUUCCCACCAAAAUCUUAGAUUGAAAUGUAUUAAUAUUGAAUUGAAACUGGGGGAAAAGACAAUUGAAAAAGAAACUAAAAUUUGUAAUCAUGAAAUUUUGAUAAAUAUGGGGACUAUUAAUGAUAUUUUACCAUUCAUAUUUUGUAAUAAAAACUUAUUUUAUUUCUAAAUUUAUCAGAAAAGAUAUUACAGAAGGUUGAAGAGAGCAGCAAAGAGGGGGCAGAUUGAAUUCUGAAAAGAAGAAUGUUCAAAAAUUUGAGCAAUUGCGACAUACAUUCCUUUCUGGCAAGCCUUCCUCUUAUUCAUCCUCCCUCCCCAAAUCAAGUUGCAAAACUAAUGAAAGGAAAUGUGCUUCAUACCUUAUCAACCAAGUAACCAGUUGUUUCCUUUCUAACCCUCCCAUCAAUAAGUGGCAUCCCAAGGUAGAUACCAAGAUUUUGAACUCUUUGGAAUCCAAACAAACUGUAAACAUCAUUUGCC